rnacentral:rRNA from 1 species
AUUGAACGCUGGCGGAAUGCUUUACACAUGCAAGUCGAACGGUAGAGGGGGCAACCCCUUGAGAGUGGCGAACGGGUGAGUAAUAUAUCGGAACGUGCCCAGUCGUGGGGAUAACGUAGCGAAAGUUACGCUAAUACCGCAUACGAUCUAAGGAUGAAAGCGGGGGACUCGCAAGAGCCUCGCGCGAUUGGAGCGGCCGAUAUCAGAUUAGGUAGUUGGUGGGGUAAAGGCUCACCAAGCCAACGAUCUGUAGCUGGUCUGAGAGGACGACCAGCCACACUGGAACUGAGACACGGUCCAGACUCCUACGGGAGGCAGCAGUGGGGAAUUUUGGACAAUGGACGCAAGUCUGAUCCAGCCAUUCCGCGUGCAGGAUGAAGGCCCUCGGGUUGUAAACUGCUUUUGUACGGAACGAAAGGUUUCUAUUAAUACUAGGAGCUCAUGACGGUACCGUAAGAAUAAGCACCGGCUAACUACGUGCCAGCAGCCGCGGUAAUGUG